AACGAACGCUGGCGGCGCGCCUAAUACAUGCAAGUCGAGCGAGAAGGUGUAGCAAUACACUUGUAAAGCGGCGAACGGGUGAGGAAUACAUGGGUAAUCUACCAUCGAGUGGGGAAUAACCAACCGAAAGGUUGGCUAAUACCGCGUACGCCUCCGAAUCUUCGGGUUCGGAGGGAAAGCUGCACUGUGAGUGUAGCGCUCUUUGAUGAGCUCAUGUCCUAUCAGCUUGUUGGUAGGGUAACGGCCUACCAAGGCUUUGACGGGUAGCUGGUCUGAGAGGAUGGUCAGCCACACUGGGACUGAGAUACGGCCCAGACUCCUACGGGAGGCAGCAGUCGAGAGGCUUCGGCAAUGGGCGAAAGCCUGACCGAGCGACGCCGCGUGAGCGAUGAAGCCCUU
rnacentral:rRNA from 1 species